CACUUGUUGAGGACAAGGUCAGAGGUAAAAGUAACAUUCAAAUUGUAAAACGCCUCUUUCUUACCUCUUCCCUGCUAUGCUCUCCCUAUACAGGAGCUCUAGCGAUGGACAGUUUGUAUCCAUCUUUACUAGUACCUGUAGGUUCCUGCUUCAAUUUAACACCCCAUCCCCAUUUGCCCCCACUGGAGAAUGGAGACAGCACACAGUGAUCAGUCUUCAAGGAUUUGAUAAUCAUGGAGCGUGAAUGAAGAGGUCUCUACUCCAGCACACAGUUGAGACACUUUGGCAGGACAGUUGGGGAAUAUUGUUCUCUUGCUGUGUCUGUUAUGUGAAUAAAUAAGGAAUUUAAUUCUCCA
rnacentral:lncRNA from 1 species